rnacentral:rRNA from 1 species
GAUGAACGCUGGCGGCGUGCCUAAUACAUGCAAGUCGAGCGAACAGAUAAUGAGCUUGCUCCUUUGACGUUAGCGGCGGACGGGUGAGUAACACGUGGACAACCUACCUAUCAGACUGGUAUAACUCCGGGAAACCGGGGCUAAUGCCGGAUAACAUUUAGAACCGCAUGGUUCUAAGGUGAAAGAUGGUUUUACUAUCACUUAUCGAUGGACCCGCGCCGUAUUAGCUAGUUGGUAAGGUAACGGCUUACCAAGGCAACGAUACGUAGCCGACCUGAGAGGGUGAUAGGCCACACUGGAACUGAGACGCGGUCCAGACUCCUGCGGGAGGGAGCAGUAGGGAAUCUGCCGCAAUGGGCGAAAGCCUGACGGAGCAACGCCGCGUGAGUGAUGAAGGCCUUCGGAUCGUAAAACUCUGUUAUUAGGGAAGAACAAAUGUGGAAGGAACUGUGCACGUCUUGACGGUACCGAAUCAGAAAGCAACGGCUAACUACGUG